GGGAAGGUAUAGGUUCCGGUGGACCUUCUGGACUUCAAACCCAGUAUGGGGCCGAAAAGCCCUGGGUGGGUUCGACUCCCACACCUUCCCGCCA
rnacentral:tRNA from 1 species